rnacentral:rRNA from 1 species
CAGCACCUCAAGUGGUCAGGAUGAUUAUUGGGCCUAAAGCAUCCGUAGCCGGCGCUGUAAGUUUUCGGUUAAAUCUGUACGCUCAACGUACAGGCUGCCGGGAAUACGGCAGCGCUAGGGAGUGGGAGAGGUAGACGGUACUCGGUAGGAAGAGGUAAAAUCCUUUGAUCUAUUGAUGACCACCUGUGGCGAAGGCGGUCUACCAGAACACGUCCGACGGUGAGGGAUGAAAGCUGGGGGAGCAAACCGGAUUAGAGACCCGAGUAGUCC